rnacentral:rRNA from 1 species
UACGUAGGGUGCGAGCGUUAAUCGGAAUUACUGGGCGUAAAGCGUGCGCAGGCGGUUCGUUAAGUCAGAUGUGAAAGCCCCGGGCUCAACCUGGGAACUGCAUUUGAAAAUGGCGGGCUUGAGUGUGGCAGAGGGGGGUGGAAUUCCGCGUGUAGCAGUGAAAUGCGUAGAGAUGCGGAGGAACACCGAUGGCGAAGGCAGCCCCCUGGGCCAACACUGACGCUCAGGCACGAAAGCGUGGGGAGCAAACAGG